AAUCGACUGACUCUGUGAAGUCUCAUUAGAGGUGUAUCAGAAGUGAGAGGCCAUGCGGUUCGGCCCCGUUUCGGCGGGGUUCGCGCGUCCGUCAAAGAAAUACCACUACUGUCAUCGUUUCUUUACUUAACUCGGUGGAGGGGAGGGCAGAGCAAUGAGCGUCCACGCUUGUAGCGCCAAGUGCGGGAGCUCCUGGGCCUCCUUCGGGUGCGCUCGGUGGGCCUGCACGAUCUGUCACGAGGACAGUGUCAGGCGGGAAGUUUGACUGAGGCGAUACAUCUGUCAAACGGUAACGGAGGGGUCCUAAGGCGAGCUCAGCGAGAAAAAAAAAGCGGGGCCCCUCGAUCCUUUGGGUUGAAGAGUUUCGACCUUAAAA
rnacentral:rRNA from 1 species